rnacentral:rRNA from 1 species
AGGAUAAACGCUGGCGGCGUGCCUAACACAUGCAAGUCGAACGUCUCUUCUUUCGGGAAGAGGAGUGGCGGACGGGUGAGGAACACGUGGGAACCUGCCCUUUAGUGAGGAAUACCGGCGAGAAAUCGCCGACAAGACCGCAUAGCCCUCUUUGAUGAGAGUCAAAGAAGGAAAGCUUCGCAAGAGGCGCUAGAGGAGGGGCCUGCGUCCGAUUAGCUAGUUGGUGGGGUAAGAGCCUACCAAGGCGUCGAUCGGUAGCUGGUCUGAGAGGACGAUCAGCCACACUGGGAUUGAGAACGGCCCAGACUCCUACGGGGGGCAGCAGUGAGGAAUUUUCGGCAAUGGGGGAAACCCUGACCGAGCAACGCCGCGUGCAGGAAGACGGCCUUCGGGUUGUAAACUGCUUUUCUUGGGACGAGGAAGGACGGUACCAGAGGAAUCAGCCCGGCUCACUACGUGCCAGCAGCCGC